UAAAUGUGUGUACAUAUAUACCUUUAUUUAUUGUAAUGCAGCAUAUAGAUGUAUUAACACCUAUAUAGAGUUCAAAGCCUCUACAAAUGCAGAUGACAAU
rnacentral:ribozyme from 1 species